rnacentral:rRNA from 1 species
GACGAACGCUGGCGGCGUGCUUAACACAUGCAAGUCGAACGGAAAGGCCCUGCUUUUGUUGGGUGCUCGAGUGGCGAACGGGUGAGUAACACGUGAGUAACCUGCCCUUGACUUUGGGAUAACUUCAGGAAACUGGGGCUCAUACCGGAUAGGAGCUCCUGCUGCAUGGUGGGGGUUGGAAAGUUUCGGCGGUUGGGAAUGGACUCGCGGCUUAUCCGCUUGUUGGUGGGGUAGUGGCUUACCAAGGCUUUGACGGGUAGCCGGCCUGAGAGGGUGACCGGCCACAGUGGGACUGAGAUACGGCCCAGACUCCUACGGGAGGAAGCAGUGGGGAAUAGUGCACAAUGGGCGGAAGCAGGAUGCAGCAACGCCGCGUGCGGGAUGACGGCCUUCGGGUUGUAAACCGCUUUCGCCUGUGACGAAGCGUGAGUGACGGUAAUGGGUAAAGAAGCACCGGCUAACUACGU